UUUGCCUUCAGAAUAACUUAACGGCGAAAACAAACGCUGUUUUGUUCAGACAGAGGCGCAAAUCAAAUGUUAAUAAUCUGAAUACGUUUGAGGGUACGGAACACAUCAUCCCCUGUUCCUGACCUAGAUAUAUUCGGAUAUUCACAUUUUAUUAUUAUUAUUAUUAUUAUUAUUU
rfam:Glycine max cultivar Williams 82 chromosome 2, whole genome shotgun sequence.